GACGAACGCUGGCGGCGUGCUUAACACAUGCAAGUCGAACGGAAAGGCCCUGCUUUUGUGGGGUGCUCGAGUGGCGAACGGGUGAGUAACACGUGAGUAACCUGCCCUUGACUUUGGGAUAACUUCAGGAAACUGGGGCUAAUACCGGAUAGGAGCUCCCGCUGCAUGGUGGGGGUUGGAAAGUUUCGGCGGUUGGGGAUGGACUCGCGGCUUAUCAGCUUGUUGGUGGGGUAGUGGCUUACCAAGGCCUUGACGGGUAGCCGGCCUGAGAGGGUGACCGGCCACAUUGGGACUGAGAUACGGCCCAGACUCCUACGGGAGGCAGCAGUGGGGAAUAUUGCACAAUGGGCGGAAGCCUGAUGCAGCAACGCCGCGUGCGGGAUGACGGCCUUCGGGUUGUAAACCGCUUUCGCCUGUGACGAAGCGUGAGUGACGGUAAUGGGUAAAGAAGCACCGGCUAACUACGUG
rnacentral:rRNA from 1 species